rnacentral:rRNA from 1 species
CUCAAAUCUCCUGUUUUCACCUCCUCCUUUGCGGUUUCUUCUAUCCCACGUGCGACUUGGCGGAGGGAAAUUUCCGCGCACACCCGCCAUUCGGCCGCCGCACCCUCCCCAAGUCUUCGAUGACUUUUUCUUCCUCCGACCACCUUGCUCCGUGGAGAGCUUUGGCCUUCCCCACCUGCAUCUUCUCCACCAAGAUUAAAGCUGGGGGCAUUUCUUGCCACGGGCGGGCUGUAACUGCCAUCGCCAUGGAUCCGUCCGGUAGCUUCAAGUGCUGCCACGUUGCGGGCAGAUCCAGUUGCUCUGGCCACGAUUGAGCGGCCGCCGUCCGCACGAGCUGCAGGGAGGCGAGAGGAAGUAGGGGAAGCGGCGGCUGCAGUGGAGAAGAAGGGAGUUGCAGGGUCGCGAAUUUCGGUCGGCGAUGGGGGGGAAGGGGGUUGCGGCUGCUUCGUCUUUGCUUGGGCAGGAUUUGAUUCCAGUGAAAGAUGGAUGAUAUUUGGAGUUGGUCCUCGUCGUCAGAGUCGGAUGAUUGGACAUAGAUGAGAUGUUUUUUGACGAUAUGCCAAGCACGUCCUCUUGUUGCAUCUCGUCGACAAAUCUGAAGCCCGCAAGAAGAAGAAGAAGUGCCACAGAUCGAUGGUUGACCUCCUUUGCAAUUCCGCGCAACCGAGCUUGCGGCCACAAAUUGCUCAUAAAAGACUAUUUUGCCGAGGUACCAACCUAUCUGGGUCAUCUCUUACACGUAGGCGUUAUCGAAUGCAUAGGUCUCUUUUUGUUCGCAUUGUGGAAGCUUGCAAGCAAAAUUAUCGUUUCUUCACUCGUUGAGAAAUGCCGCCAGUUUGGUAGGAUUUAGUGCAAGCAAAAUACAAAUUAUUUCCGCCCGAGCACAAGAAAGCAUGUCGAAAAAGAUAUUGAGAGAGCAUUUGGUGUGUUGGAACCUCAGCUUGCCAUCGAUCGAGGUCCUGCUCGCUUCAGGGAUACUCAAAUAUCAUGACUACAUGUAUAAUUCUACACAACAUGAUCAACGAGGAUGAGAGGGAUUUAAACGUUUUUUCUGUGAUAAUAUUGGCAGUUGUGUCAAGCCUACCAGAAACCCAGAUGAGAUAACUGCAUUUCAUGAAACCUACCGACAGAUUUAAGACCAUGACACACACCAGCAGCUCUGCAAUGAUCUCAUUGAGUAUCAGUGGCAAUUCUAUGGGAAAUAGACUCCCAUUUUAUUAAUUCGAUAUAUUUGUUUUCAUGUGUGAUUUGAACAAUUGUUUUAAUUCUGGAACAUUCGUUAUUGUAAUAAUUCCGG